GUGCUCGCUUCGGCAGUACAUAUACUAAAAUUGGAACGAUACAGAGAUUAGCAUUGUCUCUGAGCAAGGAUGACACACAAAUUUGUGAAGCACUCCAUAUUAAA